AGUCUUGGGGAAUCUGUAAGCCCAGCCAUCAGGGCGACUAGAUCCCCGGCGCUUAACAAGACCAUACUCAUAUCCUACAUUCUUAACUUCAGGGCUCGGUUUGCCCCCAGAGGCCAUACACAUCAGAGAUUGAAAUUGUUGCCGCCCCAAUGAAUCUCCUAUGAAUGCAAUUGUUUUGUCCUGCAUUCUAGAGAUCGAACUAACAAAUGCAGAUCGGUCGAACUCUGGCAUAUCACAAUUUUGAGGUUGCCAGCGGAAUCCCUCAUAUGAGAAAUCUGGUCUCUGAGUCACUCUACAUGCCCACAUUGUUGACAACCACUGUUUACAUCCAAACCCAGAAUACAAUGGUCUCCUGCUGUCUGCAAUCCAUCUACCCUUGGCGUAAUUACAGACUGCACAGGUGAUGACAUUCAGAUUCAAUCAAUACACAGGUAUGUGAAAUAAUUGUGCAGUGCAGAAUAUUUUGUUGAUUUCCGGGGGCUUCAGCUUGGAGCACUCAGAAAAUUGGCCAUGCUUAUGUAUUCGUUUCUUGUUUCUGGAAAGUUUAGGUAAAUCCGCUUUCGUAAUCACAGAACGAUCCAUAGCAUAUAAGUGGAAAAGGAAUUAGCCGGAAGGAGAAGAACUGAAUGCACCUUGUUGGCUGGUUCUCUUGUAAACGUCGGAGCGUCCAGAUUCAUCAGGC